GUUAUCGGGUGCUCUCAGCCCAGACCCGCCCGCGCACAGAAAGGGAAGAAGGGUGUGACUUCGGGGUACUCAGAGGUCGUGGUGGCUCCCCAGAAAAGCCAGAGCGGGGCCAGGCCUCUGGCAGCACGCCCGCCCUGCCCCUGGGAACCUGGGGGCUGCAGAUCAGAGGAGCAGGGAGCACGGCCCAGCCCGGCGAAAUUCACACAAUGUCAAGUUGACCAUUUAAAAGUGAAGAGCUGCCUCCGGGGAAUUCAGCGCAUUCCCAGUGUUGAGCAACCGUCACCUCAUCUAAUUCCAGAACACUUUCAUCACCCCAAGAGGAAAUCCCAUACCCCUCAGCUGUCACUUCCCAUUCUCCUCCCGCAGCCCCUGGCAAUCACUGGUGGUGUGUCUUUAUGGAUUUCCCUAUUCUGGACAUUUCCUACGAAUGCAGUCAUCUCAUAUGUGACUUCUGACGUCUAGCCUUUUCACUCAGCAUGCUGCUUUUGAGGCACAUCCAGGUGAACGCGUGGGUCAGCACUCCAUUCUUUUCAGUGGCUGAAUAAUAUUCCAAUGCAUGGACAGAAUCAUGUUUUUGGACAGAAUCAUGUUUUACGGACAUAACCACUUUUUAAAGAUUUUACCGGAGUAUAGUUUCUUUACAAUGUUGAGUUAGUUUCUGCUUUACAGCAAAGUGAAUCAGCUGUGUGUAUACCUACAUCUCCUCUUUUCUGGAUUUCCUUCCCAUUAAGGCUGGGCUUCCCCAGUGGCUCAAACGGUAAAGAGUCUGCCUGCAACGCAGGAUGAACCCAGGUUCGAUCUCUGGGUCGGGAAGAUACCCUGGAGAAGCAAAUGCAACCCACUCCAGUAUCCUUGACUGGAGAACCCCAUGGACAGAGGAGCCUGGCCGGCUACAGUCCAUGGGGUCGCAGAGAGACACGACCGAGUGACUAACACUUUUCCCCGCUUAGGUCACCGCAGAGCACGGAGUGGGGCCCCCUGUACUACACAGCAGGCUCCCACCAGUUACCUGUUUCAUCCCCAGCAGUGUGGAUGACAUAAGCACUUUCUUCGUCCUCUGCUCGUUGAUGGGCAUUCGGGCUGCCCCCGCCUUUGGCCUGUUUAAGCCCUGCCUUCUUGUCCAUGGGGUGCACAGCAGUUGUGUUUAGUGACUGCUAUCCUCUUCCUCACGUGCUUGGCUGUGGAUGGUCCCAAAUGGACACACUCUGUCACCCAGCUGAACGGCCACCAACCAGUCGGCCCUUGGACAGAGCAACUAUUUUCUCCCCUCGGACCUGGAGGGUGUUUCUGUUUCCAUAUCAAAAUGAACGCUCAGAGUGUCCUUAGCACGUCCCCAAGAACAGGAGGCGGAAGAGAGCAAGUCUUCCCAGUGCCCACCCCAGGGCGUUUCCUCCAGGGCCUGUAGUCUGCAUCUCUGCAAAGCGAAUCCUGCCUCGAGUCUUUACCACUUUGUAGACACUGGGCCCCUGGCCUGUUCCCCCGUCUCCUUCCAGUUGUCAAGCAAAGCUGUUGAGUUUGGGCUGCAGCUGGCACCCCGAGCAGGCUCAGCCAUCCCACUUCCUCCCUCCAUGCCCUCCGCCCUGAGAACUGAGGACUCCCCGGAGGUGCCUGGGAAACCAGCUCAGCCAGCAGAACUGGCCUCUCGGCACGUCCUGUGUGGCUGGAACUGGACUUUGUGCGGGGACCAGGGGCUCAGGAAAAUCCCUCGGCCUCUCUGGCUGCACCAGCCACGUUCUCACCCACGUGGCAGGACCCCACUCUCACCUGUGACAUCCCAGUUCAGAAACUCCAGCCAUACCAGGGAGGCGUGUCUCCUGGGUCUCACCAUCGGUCCCGGGAAGGACUCCGAUGGGGGGCAGGGGCAGACAGGAUGCAGGCUCAUUGCUAGACCCUGGGGUACCACGAAGAUCAGGCUGGGUCAGCGUUCACUCCUACAGCAAGAAACAGGCAGCCUGGCAAAUGAGUCUUCCAGGUCCCUCAAGGCUUCACAGUAAUUUCACUCACCUGUGAGUAAGCCUUGUCUUUCUUGGCGAUUUAUCCCUUGCACCUGGCCUGGUGCCCCACACAUGCAGCAGGUUCUUUAUUACCUUGAAUGAGGGACGGUAGGCUUGUCCCCUCCAAUGAAGGCUGGCGCCUUUCUAUAACGCUUACGUAGAAUUUGUCCUGAAAUGCAAUCUUGAAAGGAAGUGGGAGAAAUGCCUUGGCUUUUUCCUUUUCAGUUUGUUUUUGCAGGGAAGUGUUGAAAUCUGCAGA
ensembl:lncRNA